AUUGAACGCUGGCGGCAGGCCUAACACAUGCAAGUCGAACGGUAACAGGAAGAAGCUUGCUUCUUUGCUGACGAGUGGCGGACGGGUGAGUAAUGUCUGGGAAACUGCCUGAUGGAGGGGGAUAACUACUGGAAACGGUAGCUAAUACCGCAUAACGUCGCAAGACCAAAGAGGGGGACCUUCGGGCCGCUUGCCAUCGGAGGUGCCCAGGUGGGCUUGGCUAGUCGGGGGGGUAACGGCUCACCUAGGCGACGAUCCCUAGCUGGUCUGAGAGGGUGACAGGCCACCCUGGAAGUGAGACACGGUCCAGGCUCCUACGGGAGGCAGCAGUGGGGAAUAUUGCACAGUGGGCGCAAACCUGGUGCAGCCGUGCCGCGUGUAUGAAGAAGGCCUUCGGGUUGUAAAGUACUUUCAGCGGGGAUGAAGGGCGUAAGGUUAAUACCUUGGCUCAUUGACGUUACCCGCAGAAGAAGCACCGGCUAACUACGUG
rnacentral:rRNA from 1 species